UACGUAGGGUGCGAGCGUUGCCCGGAUUUAUUGGGCGUAAAGGGCGCGUAGGCGGCUCUGCACGUCCGUUGUGAAAUCGCCCGGCUCAACUGGGCGGGGUCAGCGGAUACGGCAGAGCUCGAGCAAGCUAGGGGGCAAUGGAAUUCCCGGUGUAGUGGUGGAAUGCGUAGAUAUCUGGAGGAACACCGGUGGCGAAGGCGGCAUCCUGGACCAACACUGACGCUGAGGAGCGAAAGCCAGGGGAGCAAACGGG
rnacentral:rRNA from 1 species